rnacentral:misc_RNA from 1 species
GAUGAAGAACGCAGCGAAAUGCGAUAAGUAGUGUGAAUUGCAGAAUUCAGUGAAUCAUCGAAUCUUUGAACGCACAUUGCGCCCCUUGGUAUUCCAUGGGGCAUGCCUGUUCGAGCGUCAUUUUGUACCCUCAAGCUUUGCUUGGUGUUGGGCGUCUUGUCUCUAGCUUUGCUGGAGACUCGCCUUAAAGUAAUUGGCAGCCGGCCUACUGGUUUCGGAGCGCAGCACAAGUCGCACUCUCUAUCAGCAAAGGUCUAGCAUCCAUUAAGCCUUUUUUUCAACUUUUGACCUCGGAUCAGGUAGGGAUACCCGCUGAACUUAAGCAUAUCAAUAAGCGGAGGA